GGGCCCGCACAAGCAGCGGAGCAUGUGGUUUAAUUCGAAGCAACGCGAAGAACCUUACCUAGACUUGACAUCCCCUGCAUAACCCAGAGAUGGGCGAAGUCCUUCGGGACAGGGUGACAGGUGGUGCAUGGUUGUCGUCAGCUCGUGUCGUGAGAUGUUGGGUUAAGUCCCGCAACGAGCGCAACCCUUAUCAUUAGUUGCUACCAUUAAGUUGAGCACUCUAGUGAGACUGCCCGGGUUAACCGGGAGGAAGGUGGGGAUGACGUCAAAUCAUCAUGCCCCUUAUGUCUAGGGCUACACACGUGCUACAAUGGUGAGUACAAAGAGAUGCAAGACCGCAAGGUGGAGCCAAACUCAAAAACUCAUCCCAGUUCGGAUUGUAGGCUGCAACUCGCCUACAUGAAGCCGGAGUUGCUAGUAAUCGCGAAUCAGCAUGUCGCGGUGAAUACGUUCCCGGGCCUU
rnacentral:rRNA from 1 species